UUUUAAAAAGUAGGCUUUGUGUUAGAUGAUCCUGCCCAGCUGUAGGCUAGUGUAAGUGUUCUGAGAACGUUUAAGGUAGGCUGAGCUAAGUUGGGAUGUUUGGUGGGUUAGGUGUAUUGAUGCAUUUCGACUUAGGAUAUUUUCAACUUACAGUGGGUUUAUCAUAAAGCAAGGAAGACCUGUAUAUAUACAUACAUACGUGCAUACAUACAUAUAUGCUUAUGUAUUGUGUAUAUAUACACAGAAGCCCAUAUAUUAAAUAUUUUAAGUUAAAACUUGUCAAUGUAAUUAAUUCACCAGUCUUCUGGUGUUGAUGUCGCCAAGGCCUUUUUUUAUUUUUUUAAUCAUAGUUGUACUAAUUAGAAACUUGUGUCUUUCAUAAUCCACACCCAUAUUGCAUCAUUUAUGAGUUCCAGUUUGGAUUUUUUAAUUACAGUUAGCCCCAGAACUCAGCAAAGCAAUCAGAUUGUGCGUCAUCUUGGAUUUUUACAUUUCUUCCAACGUCCUAUAAAUGUUACACUCAUAUCUAUUUUGACAGCACAUUUGGUUUUGUAAGCAAUUCACCUUUAUCAAACUUUCGAAAGCGUUCAACUGAGUUCUUGUAACAACAACUCUUUCUUUUUGCCUUUAUACUUUAUUGGUUUAUGUAAUACUUAUUUAAUUUUGAUAGCAACUGAUGUGAAAAGGUUUGGGAACAAACACAGCUGUCUCUUGGGGUGCACAGGGCCCCAGUUGUGGGCACAGAAGAACAGGGGCUGGGGAGAGGCCACCAGUCACAAGCAGGCUGUGAGUGGUGGGCGACCCUCAGACCCACACGACUCCUGAGAUGGCUAAGUGCGGUCCGCUAAGAGAAUUUCUAUCGUAGCAUCAAUCAAGGAUAACGAGAAAGGCAUUCAUAUUAGGAGAACCGCCAAAGAGGUCUCCCAAAGGGCGGCAGUAAGAAAGUUUAGUGGCCUCUGCCCCUGAUUCCUUAUUCCGCUGCCUAGAUGGCCCCCAAAACCUCACUGAGCUGGAACAAGUGAGUAACAGGGUGUCACCAGUUCCAGUGCCACGAUUAGGGGACAGGGUUUCUUGCUCAGCAUCCCAGGCGCAGCAAGCCUGUCUCUCAGCUCCCAGCUUCCCUUCCUCCCACCGCGAGGUCCUAGGAAGAGCACUGUUUGGGAGGGGGGUUUCCCCCUCUGACCCUUCUUGAGCUCUUGUGGCUGGACUAAUAAUAAAAUUGACCCAAGACAGACUAACAGGAGAGAAAGAAACAAAUAUGAUUUCUUACGCAGGGAGGUCUCAUAGAAACAAGACCUAAGAAGUGGCCAAAGGAGGCAGCUUCUAUACUUUGUAGACAAAGAAACAAAUUUGUGAGGAAAUGACAGGACAAAGACACUUUGGCUUUGGUUUGGUACUUAAUUAGUGUAAUCUAAACAGAAUGUGGGCGUGGGGUAGUCAAUGAAAUAAGUAACAAGGUUUGCUUAUCCAGGCUUUCUGCCCGAACUCUCCCUCUCUGGAGUUUAGGGUGUCCUUCUACUUCCAGGUGCAGGGAGUGGACCUUUCAUAGGAGAGAUUUAUUUCCUGCCUUCAGGGAGACAGAGACAGGGUCAGAGUGUCCCUCUUACAUCAGCUCUUUCUUAAGUAACUUUAAUUCAAAAUAACCAAUAUGCCAUUGGUGCACAUUUGGGGACACAUUUGGGGGCCCCCUGCCCUGGGCCCCGACAGCAUCGACCAGACGUUCCGCGCAGUUGAUGCUGAGCGGGGCGUCCCCAGCCUCCCUCUCCCUGGCUCUGCCCUCCUCUCUCCUCCUCCCCUCUCUUUUCAGGUUUCUCUCCAACACUGUUUGAUACCAGCCCCACGCCAGCCAUUGUUUUCCCAGAUGAGGGCGGACACCAGCCUGAGGCUAAACCUCUGAACUGAAUCAAGUCCCCCCACCGAAGUCAAAACGAAAGCUGCCAAAGAUACACCAAGACAGGCACCGGGCAAACCCCGCGGACUCACAGGAAACCAGGCUGCGCCUGCCGGGCUUGCCCGUCUCGCCCGCAGAAAUCCCGGUGCUCAGAGCUGGAAGGACAUCAGCCGGCAUCUUGAUGAACAUCCUCCUUUCGCCCUUGAGGCCAGGUUCUGGAGCUGCCAGCGACUCACCGAGGCUGCCCGGGGCCCAGUAGGCCUUUUAGAGAAAGAAAGAAAACCGGUGCUCAGCACAAACCAGCCCCGAGCAGCUUUGGUUGUGAGGAGCCUGGCGAGCAGCGAGGACAGGUGAUGAGAAAUCCUUGGGAGGAUGGCCAAGAAGGAUUUGUAACGUCCGGAGUCAGACAGGUCUGCAGCCCUGCUGGCCUGGCCGCUCUCCACGGAGGAAGCCCCUGGCUGUGAGGGCAGCAAACUGCAGGCUGGCCACGCCCUCUCUUGCCACCUCCAUGCCCUUUGAUGAGGGCUGGGUUAGUGCAAACAGGGUGUGUGAGCUUUUCACCCCAGCCAGGUGUGGACAUGAGCUGUGGGCUCCUGUGAGAGGUACUCAGGGUGCAGAGAUGGGCCUUUCAGCUGAGGUUCUGCACCUUCAAUCCACAGGCCCCAAGAGCAGACUUGCAAAUUCUUCCAGCCUUUAAACACCAUUCCUGCCCCAGCUGCAGGCAGGAAGCACCCUCUACCACGAGCACCACGUCCCCAGGAUCGAUGUUCAGUGCUGGGACCUGUCUGGCCACAGGGGCCGCAGCUCCGUGUCUGUGGGUCACUCUGGAGCUGAGUGUCCUCCCGUCCCCGAGCCCAGUGGAGCCAGAGUCGGGGGCAGGACGGAAGAGAAGCGCGCCCAGAGCCUCGACAUGAGCCCCCGAGAGCCUCUCCUGGGACACAGCAGCGUGAGAAGAAGGAAGCUCAUCAGCUCAAACCAGCGAGGGCGGACUGAGCACCAGCUCCCGUCCCAGGAGUAACAUGGACUGUGAUGCGGGGGGCUGAGAGGAGGAGGCCGUGCCCCGGACGUCUCAGGAGCUGACAGUCUGGUGCCCCGUGAGACAGCCCCCUCUCAGGAGAGCCACCGUGAAGCUCUGCGCACGAGAGUCAAGUGCCCCAAACUUGGAACUUGGGAGGUGGAAGCAGCUGAUCGUCUGGAGCAGAAGGAGGCCACUGUCGGUCAGGGACCAGGGACGACCUCAGGGGGGACCCGUCUGGAGCCGGAGCUUUGGGGUAGGGUCAAGGGGGCGCCGCGGAGGCCGUGAGCAUGUUGCUUUGGGCCCGUGCCGCGGAGACAGACGUCACACUGGCCCUGGUGCUCCCCGCACGCUGGCAGGGAAAUGCGUGUUUUAUUUUACAGAACUCAAAAUCGCCCAAGUAGAAACGCUCUGUGCCUUGUUUUAAAGUCAAGAAAGCGCCGGAAAGGUUUGUUUUGACCGAAUGGAAACAACACUCCCAUGGAUAAGCACUUUCUGACACACACAAAACAAAUGAAAAGCUCGUGCCCACUUUCCUGACUUUCUCCCCCAGCGAUGUCCCCAGUCACACAUGUCAUAAGGGGCUUGGGACCAGAUUCAGACUCUUCCUCCAAAAGUGCACAACACCCAGUCCCUCGCCCCACUCCCCCGACGCCAGAGGCGGCUGGGCCAGUAACUUGGAGUCAGUGCGUCCUCCCCAUGUUUUCUGACUUUCUCAGGAGAACCUUGGCAUUUUUGUAAACGUUAGCGCCAAGCUUUUAGAAAUUUUGGGGUUUUUUUGGGGGGGGGGAGUAUUUUUACUCUUUACAACAACUUGCCACCCCAAUUUGGAAACCUUGUCUAAAUUGUGGAUCUGGUACUCAGCCAAUGAUUCUUUUGGUCGUGACUGCCUUUGCUGUGAAAAUAUUCUUUUCCUGGAAGAAACCGCACACCCUUCAGAGGCCAAGGACGCAGUGGCGUUUGUUAGGAUACAUCAGAGGUAGGUUCACCGUAAAGCUAAUGAGUGCAAGCUCCAGGGCUCCUCACUUACCAUCCAAGACCUUGUACCUAAUUUUACAUCUAUUGUUUUGUAUUCUUUUUCUUAAAGAACCCACACCCGUCCAACUUGUAUAAGCUUUGAGCCCCCAACCCUGGACCCCCUACCCGCAGAUGCAGUCUUAAAGCCCAUGACCUAUUAGACCUCAUUCUCUUCUAAGGGCAAGGAGCCUCCAGUCUGGUUGAUAUUUUGUGCUUCUGAGGAACUUUUUCCCGGGGCGGGGGAGGCGGAGGAUGCUGACGCUUUGAGCUUCCAAAUGCUGAGGAGCCAUUUCCUGUGACGCGUAGAUGCGAAGAAGUAAAUGACGGGGUCAAUGCUGCAGUUCAAGUUCAUGAGGCACACUGUGAGCUGAAGGCACAGUUUGAAAGCCCUCUGCUCGGGGCAGGUUGGCUGGUGGAGCACCUUUCUCACCAUGAACUGGAUGACAUUGAAGUGGUAGGGGUGGAGCACACAAGCACGGCCACCAGCACCACCAGGGUGAGCAGGCAGGCCCUGCGGUGGUGCCCCUUCCUGCUUGUCAGAGGGUUGUCCCGGGCCGUCCUGCACAGCUUCAUGGUGAUCCUCACGUAGCAGAAGAGAAUGACGCCCACCGGCCCGCAGAAGCUCAGAGCGGAGAUCACUAGGACCACGACGGGCAGCGUGAGCACCGGCUGGACGCUGUCAUACUCCAUGCAGGUCAGCCUGCCGGCCACGAGCUUGGUCAUGGAGAGCAGGAGCAGGAGCGCCGUCUGCAGAGAGGCCAGGACCCACACAGCCACACAGAUGAGCCUGGCCCGCCGGGGUCCGCGGAGCCGGAGACACUGGUGGGUGCGGACCACAGCCACGUAACGGUCCACGCUCACACAUGCCAUCAGGUAGAUCCCUGAAUAAGUGUUCACGUAGAAUAUGAAGGCCGUCAGCCUGCAGAGCCCUUCACCGAAAGGCCAGCAGAAGUCCAGCACGUAGUAGGCGAUCUUUCUGGGCAGGGCCAGGGUGAACAGGAGGUCGGACACUGCCAGGUGGACCAGGUAGACAUUUGUUGAGUUGAUCUUCUUGCCCUUUUGAUAAGCAAGGCGAAGGGCAAGGAUGUUUCCCAGGGUGCCGAAGACCAAGAGGGCUGUGUAGAACAAAGAGAGCAUCACGCUGGCCACCCGGGGUGGGUGGUGAGGAAGGCAGGAGUCGGCGUGGUGGACGAGGCUGUCUGGGUCAGCCGUGCAGGAAGCCAUGUCAUAGAGGUCCUUGGGGAGACAAAAAAUUAAAAUGUUAAUUUUAGUUAACCCGCCUCUAUCGAGUAAUACUUAAUAAUUUGCUGAAGCCACAUGCCCAUGAAUAGCAUAUAUCUUUAUUUUAAAUUUUAUUGGAUUAUAGUUGAUUUACAAUGUUGUGUUAGUUUCAGGUGUGCAGCAAAGUGAUUCGGUUACACAUACAUAUACAUAUAUUCAUUCUUUUUUAGAUUCUUUUCUCAUAUAGGUUAUCACAGAUUGAGUUCCCUGUGCUUCACAGUAGGCCCUGUUGGUUAUAUCUUAUAUAUAGUAGUGUGUGUAUGUUCAUCCCAAGCUCCUGGUUUAUCCCUUCCCCCAGUGUUUCCCCUUUGGUAACCAUCAGUUUGUUUUCAAUAUCUGUACGUCUGUUUCUGUUUUGUAAAUGGGUAAAGAAGACGUGGUACAUACAAGCCUACCUCUUUUGAAGUAAAUUUAUGUGGACGUGUGACAUACCGUUCCACUCACUGUUGCUAUGUAACAAAUUACCCCCAGAAUUUAGCAACUUAAAACACUUUAUUAUUUUCACGGUCAGGUUUUGAACAGGACACAGUGGGAUUGGCUUUUCUCUGCUCCCCACUGUUGGGAGCCUCAGCUGGGAAGAAUCGACAGCUGAGGCUUACUCAGUGGCAGGGGCUGGGACCACCCGGAGGUGAUUUUACUCAAAUGACGCUGACUUUUGGCCGAAGCCUCAACUGGACUGUCAGCUACAGCACCUGCACGAGGGUUCCUCGUGAGGCGGGGGCUUCCUCGCAACAUGGUGGCCUGCAAGUACCUCAGUUUCUUACACGGUAGGUGGAGGCUCCAAAAGAAAGUGUCCCGGAAACUAGGUAGAAUCUCCGUCUAUUAACCACGUCUUUUAUUUUCUAUAUUCUAGUGCUCUGACAUCUUGGGGCCUGGCUGACCCUGGAGGGGCUGCCCUUCCCUGGGUUAACCAGUCCCUUGAGUGUACUUUUCAAACGCAAACCAACCACUCCCACCACCUGCCCUAAUCAACCCAGGGCCAGGUACCAGGGGCAGCCCCUGUGUCCCAGAGCCCCCUGAGAUGGUUCAAACAAUCCUAACCCUGCUGACCCUGCCUUGCCUGUUCCCUUCCACCGAAACCACAGUAGAGGCUCUUGCCCACAUUUCUGCUCCUCUGGCUCUGUCUCCUGACCAACCCCAGCUCUCCCCCUGUGGCCCCCCGUGAUGUGGCAUGGCCCCUCUUCUUGGGGUCUGUAAGUAACAAGCUCUCUUUUUCAACAGCAAUCAUCCCCUGAUCUGUUGGCCUGACCCUCAGAUUUUCUAUGAACACACUGUACUCAAAAACACUGCAUCAGCUUUUCUAAGCUGGCCUGGGAAGUGUGGUACCAUCAUGUCCGCCUUCUGCUGUUACAAGUGAGUCACAAGCCCACCCAGAAUCAAGAAGAGGAGACAUAGCUCCCAUCUCUCAAUAGGAGGCAGGUCAAAGAAUUUGCAGCCAUUUACAAAUCACGACACACAUGCAAAAAUGUGCACAAAUCGUAAAAGUAGAGCUUGACGGUUUUCAUAAAGUGAACACGUCUGUGUGAUUAGCCCCCAGAUUAGGAGGCACCUCGCCAGCACCCCCAGAAGCUCUCCCUUGCCCCCCCAGCCUCUACCUCCACUCAAGGGUAAUCAAUAUCCUAACUUCUAAAAUCACAACUCAGUAUGCCUGCUUCUGAACUUUAAGUAAAUGAAAUCAUACGCCGUGGGUAUGUGUAUUCUCACCCACAGAGCUUCUCUGGGUCAGCAUUAGGUUGUGAGAUUGACCCACGCUGUAGUGUAGUUGUGGUGUGGUGUAGUUGUGGUUUGUUCCUUCUCAUUGCUGUAUGAUAGUCCAUUGUAUGUAUGCAUCACCACCUAUUUACAUCCAUCCUACUGUUGGUGAACAUUUCUGUUAUAUCAAGUUCAGCUAUACAUGUUCUUUCACAUGUCUUUGAUGACACAUAAGUAUCUAUUUUGCUGAGCACUGUACAUAGCUAGGAGUGGGGCUGGUGAAUCACAGGUUCUGCACGUUUCAUUUGAGUAGGUAGGUCCUGGCCAUCACUUUCCCAAAGCAGCCGCUCUGUGUACUCCCGACAGCGUAUGGGAUUCCCGUGGCGCCUCAUCCUCACCAGCCCUGGGCAUGGUCAGUCUUUUUCAGGUGAACCAGUCUGGUGGGUGUGCAGGGGUAUCUUCUUGUGGUUUCAAUUGGCAUUUGCCUAAUGACUACUGACAGUGAGCACCUUUUCACAGGUUUACUGGCCAUUUAUAUAUCUUCUUUUUUUUUUAACGUGUUAGACAUUAUUACUAUUAUGAUUAUUGUUCUAUUACUACUAUCACUACUACUAUCAUUCUCUUUUUAUUAUUUUUAAAAAUUUCUUAUUGGAGUAUAGUUGCUUUACAAUGUUGUGUUAGUUUCUGCUGUACAGCAAAGUGAAUCAGUUAUACGUAUACAUAUAUCCCCUCUUUUUUGGAUUUCCUUCCCAUUUAGGUCACCACAGAGUGUUGAGUAGAGUUCCCUGUGCUCUACAGUAGGUUCUCAUUUGUUAUCUAUUUUAUACAUAGUAGUGUAUAUACGUCAAUCCCAAUCUCCCAACGCACCCCACCCCCACUUCCCCCCUUGGCAUCCAUAAGUUUGUUCUCUACAUCUGUGUUUCUAUUUCUGUUUUGCAGAUAAGUUCAUCCAUACCAUUUUUCUAGAUUCCAGAUGUGGAGAAAAGGGAGCCCUCCUACACUGUUGAUGGGAAUGUAAAUUGGCGCAGCCGCUAUGGAGAACGGGCAAACCACACGCCGGCCCGCAGCCCAGGGCGCCGGGUACACCACACAGCCCCAAGGCCCCACCAAGCGCCACUUCCUCCCCGAAAACUCCGGUCUCUGCAGCAGCCCCCACACCUGGUGCUCGAGCAUCUGAGGGCAACUCACAGGUACCUGCUCCCCGUGACUCACCCCUCAGCGCCUUAGCAACCUCCGUAACCCCGUGCCCCUCGGGCCUCUCCGAAUCUUCUUCCUGUUUUGGUAUUUGGCACAAAACAAGCUGUCUGGAUGGUGGGUGAUGCUGGGAGCCCCGUGGUCCCCCUUCCCAGGGCACCCACGGAGAAGUCACAUCCACAUCCCGAAGAGAGGCAGGCGGGUACUGUCACAUAUGUGAGUCCGGGGAGAUCAGACCCAAAUGAGGAGCUGUCGAGAGAGGGGCCCUAACGCCUCGGACCUGCCGCUCUGGCCUUCCUGCUUGUCGAUGCGGGUGCAGACCUCCGCGUGAGCGUCCCUUCCCCAGCAGGAGCACUGACUGCCCAGUGGCUGACUGCUCGGUUGCUCUGUGCACCGUGGGCUCUGGCCCACACCUGCUGAAGGUGUGCUCCUUGGCCCCUUUCUGCCCCGCCCCCCAGGUUCUCCCCCCACGAGCGCAAAGUAUCCCAUUUCUCCAACUCCAUCCCAUCUGCUCUUAGGAAAUGACCCACUGUUGGUUUGUAGGGGAGCAGAAUCUGCCACCCCAAAAUACACGUGUUUGGCCUAAGGAUUCUUUUAAGCUGGUUAUUUUUAAGAAGGCACAGGCACAGAAGAAGCUCUGAAAGCCAAGUCGAAGUUGCCCUUUGUAAAAGACGCUUAUAUUUGUAAGUGUCUCCCUUGUCGUACCAAGAAGAGGGGUAAUGACUCAAUCUGUAGAAACUCUAGUCAAUGCAGAAGGCAAGGACUUAAAUCUGCAGAGCUACCUUACCCUUGUUUACUGUGCUUUUCCUGCUCGCCUCUCAUCUCUAGCUCCCCCACUCCUAACAUCUUCUGUUGUCUUCAGCUGAGGAAAGCGUUUAAGGUGAUGGUUUUGCCCAUUUUGGCGAGUUACUUAGUUUUCCUGGGUCUCUCCCACGUAUACACGUUAUUCAGCUUUUGGUUUUUUUCUCCUGUUAAUCUGUCUCUUGUCAAUUUCGUGAUGAGGCCAGCCAAAGAAGCCAGAAGGGAAGAAGGGACACGUCCCCUCCCCUACAGUCUUUUACGUCUUAAUAUGAAGCUACUGACGCAUUUCCCACUCACAAGAGUAUGUGCCAUUUGAGACUCACCCAGCUGUGACUGUGGAGGGCCAGGUGUGCCCCUGUUAGGGGUUAUCAAUUAGUGCAGCCAUGUAGGGAAGAAUGAUCCAGAGAGCUUCCAGAAGGUUCUAAGGGUCUGCAUCCCAGGGUGUGGUCCAGUGAAAGCAGCCCAGUUCUGUCAGCCGGUUUUGCUCUGUGACAUGAGACUGACACUGACCUUUGGUCCUCCUGGCCUGACGUGUCCUUCCGCCCGGUCAGGCACGGCAGGGGUCCUGGCUAGUGGCUGGGGUCGAUAGGGAUGCUCUACCUGUUCCCAACAGAAGCAGAAAGAGAGGGUGUGUGAAGAGCAGAACAAUCUCUCUGAGCCCCAGCAAGGCACGUCCUUUCCGCGGUGCCCGAAAAGACUCACCUCUGGUCGACUUACCUCACUCACCGAGGGUGACGCCAGGGAGCCCGGCGGGGUCUCGUGCAGCAGCCAGCUGCCUUCCCAGGGGGCCCUGGAGCAUCGAAGGCGCCCCGAGCACUCUCCCCUCUGCAGGAAUUGAAUCAGUGCACCGCACUAGCCUCCACACUCUUCUUCCCUUCACCCACCCCUGCUGAAAAAAAAAAAAAGAAAAGAAAGAAAGGGGAAAAAAAACCACCCAGGGUAUCAGCCAAGGUGAUCUUCCUGCCACAGGACAAGCUCGCUCAGACACAUGGCCCCCCACGCAGGCCUGUCUCCCACACCUCCCGAGAAGGAGGGAGUGGGGGGUUGUUGCUCUAGGAAGCGGUUUCCCUUCUGUUCCAUUUCUUUGCCCCCCACAGGCAGGGGUUUAGGCCAUAGAUGUUACUCCCAAGCCACCAGAGUCAGGAACUUCAGAAGCAGCCAGCAUUCUCUCCCCCCUCCCCUCCCCCCAUGAGGGGGUGAUGAGCGAAGUAAAGCAAGAAGUACCAUCUGGGGACCCUGCCAAGCUCAGGCUGGGGGUAGGGAAGCGAGGGGAGACUUGGCCUGGCUCGGGAUUCCCUGGGUUUGUGAUCCAGGCGAGGCGCUCUAACAGAGCCCGAAAGCCCACGUGCAGCUCUGAUGGGCUGCACUCCCAAGGGCUGCACUUGGCGGUGGCUGGACGGCAGAUGAAACCAGGGUGUUCCCCAGCCACCCCUUCUCCCCGCGCCCCCCUCGUUUCCCUACCACACAGCUGGCGAAUCAAUGAGGCAUCAGACCCACCCCCGGAUCAGGGCUGUAACGCUGCCAAGUUGCCGCCCCAGGGAUGUGAGCGUGAGCUUCUUUCUGAGCUUCUCUGCACGUGGAAGGAAGGCGCUUCAGUCAGCAGCCGGCUCUCCAGCCCGGCCUUGGACCCCAGCCCCACCCCCAAGCUCUGUGUCUCUGGCGUGACAUCCCUCACGCCUCGGUUCCCCGCCACCCCUCCCCUGUCUAGAAUUUGGGUCAACACGCCCCCCUAACUGACCUCCCACUGAUGAAGGCCAUGGGACCCCAUUUUUCCCUUGUGUAGACUGGUCCCUAAAAGAUGUCCCCCAAAGCUCCAGAUCAGUUGGAGAGAAGUUUGGUAAAGAAGCCCUGUCUUACCUGCACCUUUUACCAUCAACUUCCCUCCCACGGCCCAGAAGGAAGAACUAAUGCCGUUUCCAGAGGUGCCUGACUUACACACAGAUGGCAAACCCCAGGAGAACCUUCCUUCGUGUCUUCAAGACAUUUAGGGCUCUCCCACUAAAAGGGCAGACUAGCAGGCCUACGAAGGGCAACAAACUGUGGAAUACCCUCACCCCACACUGUUCACUCAUGGGUCGUUCAACAAGCGUUUACUGAGCGCCAGCUUCGAGCCGGGAACACAUACGUACCUGUGUGUGCUGGGAGGGGAAACUUUUCCUCUGCCCUCCUGGGUUUAGUGGCUGCAGUUGUGUCAGUUAAUUGGACAAGAGACUAACAAACAGGAUGAACAAACAGGAGAAGGGCGCACACAUUUUAUCUGACGUUAACAAUUUUACUCUGACUUGGCCCGGGAGGCUUCACAGAAAAGAAGUGAGGAGCCAAAGUGGAUAGGAAUAAGUUUAUACAGCAUUUUAACAAAGAGCAGUAGGGCUUCCCUGGUGGCACAGUGGUUAAGAAUCCACCUGCCAGUGCCGGGGACACGGGUUCGAUCCCUGGUCCAGGAAGACCCCACAUGCCACGGAGCAACUAAGCCCGUGUGCCACAAUUACUGAGCUCACGAGCCACAACUACUGAGCCCACAUGCCACAACUAGUGAAGCCCGUGCACCUAGAGCCCAUGCUCUGCAGCAAGAGCAGCCACCGCAACGAGAAGCCCGUGCACUGCAACGAAGAGUAGCCCCCGCUCACCACAACUAGAGAAAGCCGGCGUGCAGCAAGGAAGACCCAGCGCAGCCAAAAAUAAAUAAAUAAUUUGUUUAAAAAAAAACAAAACAAAGAGCAGUAAGUGGUGGAAACUAACAAGACAGAGGAAAGCAGGGAGGGGGUGUGGGGAUGCCGUAAUAGAUGGGGAAAGGAGUAGAAGAUUGAGGGCUGUCUAGUAAGGUUUAUCAUUAAACCUUCCUCUCUUGGCUCUGGGCUAAGAGACUAGAGUCCUCUCAGAUGAUUAAGAGUUGCUGUCUUCCUGGUAAGGAGGGUGAAAUGCCUUUACAAAUGGAAAUUUCUAUCCUGCUUUUAGCCAAAUAGGAAGAAGGCAGAGAUAUUUUUUCCUUCUCUUUCUGCUAUUUUUCUUAGUUGCCUUCAGCUCAAAAUAAUCCUUAUGCCAAAGAGGCACAAGUGGGUGGCAUAUUCUGGUCCCCUUCGUGUGUACACAUGACUGAGAAGUACAUGGUGGGCUCUCCUUGUGUUCAUAGAAACACAUCGCUCAGUCCCCUAGCACGUGCUUGGCCUGGAACCUAGCAGAUCCCUUACAAAGUUACCAUCUCUCCUGCCCUUUUAUGAUCUUGUCCAGUCUAAGUAGCAGCCCUCACUGGCCGCCAUCCUGUGCUUACCACCUGUACUAUGCAUGGGAUUUCACGCUCUCAGGGGCUGUUCUCCAGUCACUUCUUGGGCAGGGGUGUUUCAUUUCAACCAGCUGUUGAGUUCCUCAGCGGUAGGAAGUGCAGCGGCUCUUUUAUCUACAGGGGCUGCUACAGUGGAAGGUGUGGGAGACCUCGCCUAGUCCCUGGGAGGCCAGGAUUCAGGAGGCCUGUGAACCUGGGUGGGAGAACAAUUACCUCUUUAUUUUCACUAGGCUCUAACUGCAACCUGUCAGCCUAGGCCCUGGCAGCCGGUCACAGUGGAAUGAAGUAUACCUGUGACUCUGUCACUGACAGAAAUCAUGACUCUCUUCAUAGCCCAUUACAGGUGGAGUGAAUGUCUACAUUAUGCUGAACUUCCAGAACCAGCUAGAGAUACAACAGCGACAGAGUCCUUCCUUCUGGUGAAGUGGACAGAUGAGCAGGCAGGCGACCUCUAUGGAGAGACAGACGCAGCUGAGAGAAUUCAGGCCCUUUUGUCUUAUUUUCCUACAUUGUCAAGGAUCCACAUUACAAGGUUGAAGAGAAGCGGUGAUGGCAGGUACCCCUUCCUUCUAGUGUUUUACUAUUACAUGUCAUGAUUUGUGCAAACUUCUGGUAGACCCUGGUUAGGGUUAGGAAUGUGGCCUCUGUGCCUGCGUUGCUAAGAGUUUAUCAACAAUAUCCAGCUUGUCAAAUGUUUUUGGAGUGCCUACUGAAAUAACUAUGCCUCAAUUCCGUGAAUUACACUGAUAGGUUCCCUAAUAACCAAUUCCUGUAUUUGUUGGAUAAACCUACUUGUCAUGAAGUAUUUGUGUUUAAUGUAGAGACUGAGAUAUAGUAGAUCACCCCAAAUGAACAGGAGGCCAAUGGCUAAUGAAACAGAAGAGAUAGUGACAGAUACGGAUCGUAUCUUUGUUCCAAGAAGGGCACAUCAGUGGGGGAAAAAUCCCAAAGGAGCAAGAUUCUUCAAAGAACCUUUGACCCUGUUGUAAUAAGAUGGAGAAAAUUGUAUUCAACCAAGUUAAUAUCGAGGAGAGUUCUAGGUGCAUUUGGAAGAAACAUUUUGAUAAACAGUUUGCAAUUGUUGAAAUGUCUACCCAAGAAGAGCCUCAUGUUGGGCUAAGAACCUGAGCUGCUGGGAUGGGCAGGGCUGGGACAGAGCUGACUUGUCUCUGGCAUGAAAAGGAGAGGAAGAAAAGGUAGAAGGGGAAAGCCAAAGAGACUGGGCAGUGCUGGGGAGAAAGGAGAAAAAGAAAAGGAAGCAAACCCUGGCAUUGGGGCGGCCAAGGAGGGCCACUGGGGAGAAGGGAUUGUCUACUGGGCUAUAGGUUGUUUGGUGUAGUUACCUGCGACUGAUGCUUUUGCACAUCUGGGGCCCAGUGGGGGAGCAGGGAAAGGGCCAACUUCUGCCUGCAGCUGGAGGAUGCCAUGCAGGUGGAGCAUAGGAGCUGAGGGCAUCUGACUUCUAGAUCAACCCAAGGUUUGGGAGGUGACAGAACCUUGCACCCGAGCUGGCUUGGGGGUUACAAGGGGAAAGGGCUAAGUACGACUUGGGGGAUGAAACUUCUGGUCUGGAGGAUCUUAAUCACAUGUAUGUGGAUCCUUCAAAGAAUCUAUGACUAAAACUCAGAGGGUUCAUGAACUUAAAUAGGAAAAAUUUACAUCUUUAUUUUCCCUAACCUCUCACUGAAAUUGAGCAUUGCCUUCUAUUAUGAACACAGGCAACAAUCCCUAAGGUUUAGCCGUGCCGAGAGAAAUAACAGAUUUUCACACCACACUUUAGUUGUUGCCAAUAUCUCAAAAUAUUUUUUAUACUCGUUGCUGCUUUGAAAUCACAUGGUCAUAGACCCACCAUCUGGGCAUCAGAAAGAGUAUGAUGGGGCUUCCCUGGUGGCGCAGUGGUUGAGAGUCUGCCUGCCGAUGCAGGGGAUGCGGUUUCGUGCCCCGGUCCGGGAAGAUCCCACAUGCUGCGGAGCGGCUGGGCCCGUGGGCCAUGGCCGCUGAGCCUGCGUGUCUGGAGCCUGUGCUCCACAACGGGAGAGGCCACAGCAGUGAGAGGCCCGCGUACCGCAAAAAAAAAAAAAAAAAGAGUAUGAUGGUGCUGGACCCUAAGGACCAGACCGAAGGCAGGGUGGAGGUACUCCACCUGGUUUUCUGUUUUGUCAUUUAAUCCAGCACAUUCUCUGUGCCAGACACUAGUAGCCCUAGGGCAGGUACAUAGACAGUAAGGCAGAGAGCCUGCCCCGUGGAACCCAGGGGCUGGGGGAGGCGUACAGCUCAUCCAGACAAACAACCGCACCACACGGUGACACGCUGCAGGAGCACAGAAGCAGGGCUGGUGGUCUCAGACAAGGUUUCGUACAGGAAGUGACACUUGAACUGAGUUUUUCAGAGUAUAUUAAGAAAUGCACACAGGACAUAAAACUUUCCUCUGACCAGAAAAAUCCCUCAUCAAGCAUGUGCGUGUCUCAGCUUAGAGUUCAGAAGAGCAAAAAGCAGAAAUUUCCCCUGGCUGUGGGGCUGAAACAGGAAACCACCCAGAAACCCUCAGCAGAGGAGGCCGGGAGUCCCCAGUUCCCUGGGACGGAGUGGACAUUUCACAGGAAACACUUCUGGGUGCAGCCCGAGUCUGUUCCCAUCCCUCUGUGUUGGAAUAAAGGCUCCAUGAGCUCAUGGGUUGUCUGUUUCGCUGGUGAAUGAAUCACAAGCACCUGUGCCCGGCGCAGAUCUGGCCCCUGCAGAGUUCAGUUGAAUGAGUGAAUAAAUCCAGCUGCAGCCUUCUAGAGCUGAUGGGGGGCAGCCGGAUAGGGCGGCCCUGACUGCCUCUCUGCGUGGCAUUUGUGUCUCCAAAUCACCAUGGUGCCCUGCACUCUGGAUGACCUGUAAGACCCCCUCCUCCCCACCCCCAAACUCCUGUGGAUACAGAAUUGCUUCAAGGCAGUGGGCAGGUAGAGUGCCCAUCACCUGGGUUGCUCUGGUGUGAAUGUCUCUGCCCUCUUCCAGGACGGCAAGGUGUUGUCGCAGAGAUCUGCAGGGUCCUAGCGGGCAUCUGAGCUGCCUGGAUUAGGGAUCCCUUUCCCCAGAGCAUGGUCCGAGCUGGAAGCAUGAGUCCCAGUUAGUAGAAGCAGAGGGCUGGGAGCAUCCGCACCAGAGCCUCCAUCCUGAGCUCACAGUGGGUGGAGAAAGUCGCCUCCUAACGGGGCCUCCCAUAGGCUGAUCCCUGAUCCAUAAAGGAUAAAGCAGAGCAUUUCUAUGGCAUCUCUGUUCCUCCCAGCAAUGUUAUUGGCUGAACUGUGUCCCCCCACCCACUCAAAUUCAUCUGUUGAAGCCCUAACCCCCAGCACCCCAGAAUGUGACUGUAUUUGGAGAUAGGGUUUUUAAAGAGGUGAUUAAGUUAAAAUGAGGUCAUAUGGGUGGACCCUAAUCUAAUAUGACUAGUGGCCUUAUAGGAGAUUAGAACACAGGCAUACACAGAGGGAAGACCACAUGAGGACACAGGGGGAAGACGUCCGUCUACAAGCCAAGGAGAGAGACCUCAGAGGAAACCAACCCUGCUGACACCUUGAUCUCAGACUUCUAGCCUCCAGAUUUGUGAGGAAAUAAAUUUCUGUUGUUUAAACCCCCCAGUCUGUGGUACUUUGUUACGACAACCCUGGCUAACUCAUACAAAUGACCUCACUCAGUGAAGUUUCUCAGUGGGCUCCCUGAGGUGACACCCACACUCUUGUCACCACAAAGGAGAAGUAAACAGAAGUGCUUUCAAAGACUCAUAGGUCA